GCAAUAUAAUAAAUAGCAGCAAAAAACAAAAACAAUAAGAUGGCAGCUAAUCAACAUAUAACUCAGAACUCAUCUGCUUCAUUCCUCUUCUUAGCCCAUUUUUGAAGGAGCUUUUGCGUGCCUUUAUUUUGUGUCAUUU
rnacentral:ribozyme from 14 species